rnacentral:tRNA from 1 species
GGUCUUAUAUUCAACUAUGAUUUUAAACUGCAAAUUUAAAGGUAGGGUUCUCCUUAAGGCUU